GACGAACCGUGCGAACGUUGUUCGGAAUCACUGGGCUUAAAGGGCGCGUAGGCGGGCUGCCACGUCCGGGGUGAAAUCCCACCGCUCAACGGUGGAACUGCCUCGGAUACGGGCGGCCUCGAGGGGGGUAGGGGCACGCGGGAACUGUGGGUGGAGCGGUGGAAAUGCGUUGAUAAUCAUCAGGAACACCAGAGGCGAAGGCGGCUCACUGGGUCUUUUCUGACGCUGAGGAACGGAAAGCUAGGGGAGCAAACGGG
rnacentral:rRNA from 1 species